UACGUAGGGGGCGAGCGUUGUCCGGAAUCAUUGGGCGUAAAGAGCGUGUAGGCGGCUUGGCAAGUCUGACGUGAAAGCCCGCGGCUCAACCGCGGAUUGUCGUUGGAAACUGCCUCGCUAGAGUCCGGAAGAGGAGAGCGGAAUUCCUGGUGUAGCGGUGGAAUGCGCAGAUAUCAGGAAGAACACCCGUGGCGAAGGCGGCUUGCCAGAACGCGCUCGACGGUGAGGGAUGAAAGCUGGGGGAGCAAGCCGG
rnacentral:rRNA from 1 species